AUUGAACGCUGGCGGCAGGCUUAACACAUGCAAGUCGAGCGCGCGGCGGACGGGUGAGUAAUUUCUGGGAACCUGCCUGAUGGAGGGGGAUAACGACUGGAACCGGUAGAUAAUACCGCAUACCAUGAGUUCUGCCCAGAUGGUAUUAGCUAGUAGGGGAGGUAAUGGCUCACCUAGGCGACGAUCCCUAGCUGGUCUGAGAGGGUGACCAGCCACACUGGAACUGAGACACGGCCCAGACUCCUACGGGAGGCAGCAGUGGGGAAUAUUGGACAAUGGGCGCAAGCCUGAUGCAGCCAGGCCGCGUGGGUGAAGAAGGCCUUCGGGUUGUAAAGCACUUUCAGCGGGGAGGCGUUACUCGCAGAAGAAGCACCGGCUAACUCCGUGCCAGCAGCCGCGGUAAUAC
rnacentral:rRNA from 1 species